rnacentral:miRNA from 1 species
CUCAACGGAUACGGGCUCUUGAA